rnacentral:tRNA from 1 species
CAAAGUGUAGCUUAUACCAAAGCACCUGGCCUACACCCAGAAGAUUCCAUACAAAAUGGCCACUUUGA